ACUCCUACGGGAGGCAGCAGUGGGGAAUAUUGCACAAUGGGGAAACCCUGAUGCAGCCAUGCCGCGUGUGUGAAGAAGGCCUUCGGUUGUAAAGCACUUUCAGUAGGGAGGAAGGUAGUGUAGUUAACACCUGCACUAUUUGACGUUACCUACAGAAGAAGCACCGGCUAACUCCGUGCCAGCAGCCGCGGUAAUACGGAGGGGUGCGAGCGUUAAUCGGAAUUACUGGGCGUAAAGCGCAUGCAGGCGGCCUGUUAAGUCAGAUGUGAAAGCCCGGGGGCUUAACCUCGGAAUUGCAUUUGAAACUGGCAGGCUAGAGUCUUGUAGAGGGGGUAGAAUUUCAGGUGUAGCGGUGAAAUGCGUAGAGAUCUGAAGGAAUACCAGUGGCGAAGGCGGCCCCCUGGACAAAGACUGACGCUCAGAUGCGAAAGCGUGGGGAGGCAAACAGGAUUAGAUACCCUGGUAGACUGUCA
rnacentral:rRNA from 1 species